rnacentral:ncRNA from 1 species
UGGCGAGUGGGCAGUGCUGCGCUGGGUGGCUGUCUGCUGUCGCUGAGGUAAAGCUGCUCCUCCAGUGAGAGAUAUGGAAGUCUGCUGGGCUAUGAUGCCGUUAGAUGUCCGGGGCUGCACGCGUGCUACACUGACUGGCUCAGCAUGUGUCUUCCCUACGCCAACAGGUGCGGGUAACCCGUUGAACCCCAUUCAUGGUAGGGAUCAGGGAUUGCAAUUAUUCCCCAUGAAGGAGGGAUUCCCAGUAAGUGCGGGUCAUAAGCUCGCAUUGAUUUAGUCCCUGCCCUUUGUACA